CGGGCCGUAGCGCAGCUGGUAGCGCGCAUGCAUGGGGUGCAUGAGGCCGCGGGUUCGAGCCCCGCCGGCCCGA
rnacentral:tRNA from 1 species